UUUAAACUUUUUAAAUGGAGAAUUGGCAACUCUUUAUUUAUAUAAAAUUAAUGGCCUGAGAAAAAUUGACAGUUCUUGUCUAACAAACAAUUCCAAUUAGUUUCGAACUGGUUGAUUUUUUUAGAAUUUGCAUUGUGUGUGAAUUAUUUAUAAAAUAAAAACGGAUAAUGAUUGAUAAUAUACCAAAAUGGUAUAGAUUAGAGUUAUUCAAUGAUGAUGACGAUGACAACGAUGAACUGGAACUCCCCGUACUGAAUCAACUUUUAUUUCCAGAUGAAGGUGACGCUGAAUUCGAUGAUGAAAUUAUUCACGAUGACCGUUUUGUGGAGGAGGAUGAUGAAGUUAUUCACAUUCACACAUUUAUGUUUAAUGGUGAAGACAAUAUACCAAUAGAAGAAGAUAGCAUGAUAGAAGACGAAAGGUCUGAAAUUAUAGCUUGCGAUGUACAUCCCCACUUAAGCUUGGCGAUUACCAGCGGAAUUGAAGGCGGUGCUUUGUUAUGGCUUACUAAAGAAAUGGCACGCUUAGAGUACAUUUCAGUAAAGCAAAAACUAACAAAUUUAAAGUUUAGUCAAGAUGGCUCGUAUUUAGGAACAGGUAGUUGUAUUGGUGAAGUUGCUGUUUAUAGUGUACUACCUCCUUUACCAGAAGGACGCUACAUAUUUCAUCCUGUGUUCCUGCUAAACGUGUGGCAAUUUUCAAUGAGAUCAUUAAAUUGGUUACGCUGGCAUCCUACUGCAAACAUACUUUUCGCAGGCGGACAUACCGGUGAAGUGCUUAUAUAUGGUAUAAAAAUUAAGCAAGAAUAUGACUUUGUCAAGUUAUUACCUGGCGAAGGUGAAAGCUGUGAGAAUAGUGUAGUUAGUCAUGAUGGCGAAAAACUAUUUCUCUUGUAUAUUAGCAAGAUAAAAAGUUUUGAUAUAGAAAAAUUCAAUACUUUAUGGAUAGUUAAUACUUAUAUUCUGCACAAAGAAAUCGUAUGCAAUAUAGAAUGUUCUAUGGAUUUAUCUGGUGAGACUCAUGUAAUUCACUGGUAAAUAAACUUUGAGACUAUGCUGUCCAUUUCUUGCAUACCAUUUAUAAGAGACCCAUAUAUAUUCUCGUAUUACGUUUGGAUUGAAUAAAUGAAAAUGUAGUAGUAACAUCAACUGAAAUUGGACAUAUUAUUAUUGGUAGUGAUAUACUAAUAUAAGGAUGGAAUAAGUAAAAAUUUUAAUUUAUAUAUAAAAAAAGAACAGCAGAAAAUUGUAUCUUAACUGCAUUAAAUAAUACCUCUAUAAAAUU